GACGAACGCUGGCGGCGUGCUUAACACAUGCAAGUCGAGCGGUAAGGCCUUUCGGGGUCCCCGAGCGGCGAACGGGCGAGUAACACGUGGGCGAUUGGCCCUGCACUUUGGGAUAAGCCUGGGAAAUUGGGUCUAAUACGGGAUAUGCCCUCAUAUUGCUUGGUGGGAGGGGGAAAGAUUUAUCGGUGCAGGUUGGGCCCCCGGCCUAUCAGCUCGUUGGGGAGGUAAUGGCCUGCCAAGGCGACGACGGGUCGCCGACCUGUGAGGGGGACCGGCCACACUGGGACUGAGACACGGCCCAGACUCCUACGGGAGGCAGCAGUGGGGAAUAUUGCACAAUGGGCGAAAGCCUGAUGCAGCGACGCCGCGUGAGGGAUGACGGCCUUCGGGUUGUAAACCUCUUUCAGCAGGGACGAAGCGCAAGUGACGGUACCUGCAGAAGAAGCACCGGCUAACUACGUG
rnacentral:rRNA from 1 species